GGAAGGAUCAUUAACGAAUUGUAAAUGGAAGCUGAUGCUGGCAGUCCUUUCUCGAUUGCAUGUGCUCGCUUCUAACAAUCCUUAUCCAAACACUUGUGCACCUUUGAGAAGGGGGUCUCCCUUCUUAUUUACAUAUACACUACUUUUGCAAUGCUGAACGUGAUCUUGUGCCUUUAAGGCCUUAAUGUUAAUACAACUUUUAACAACGGAUCUCUUGGCUCUCGCAUCGAUGAAGAACGCAGCGAAAUGCGAUAAGUAAUGUGAAUUGCAGAAUUCAGUGAAUCAUCGAAUCUUUGAACGCACCUUGCGCCCCCCGGUAUUCCAGGGAGCACACCUGUUCGAGUGUCGUGAAAUUCUCAAGCUAGAUGCUUUUUCAUUGCUUGUAAAAGCCAUCUUAGCUUGGUUGUGGGCUUUGCCGUGCCCUCUCCAUUGAGGAACGGCUGGCCUUAAAAGCAUUAGCUGGCCCUAGUGUAGCAUUGGUUCUACUCAGCGUGAUAAUAAUUCUGACCGCUGAGGACAUCUUUCGGGAUGGCCAAAUCUUGCCUGGGUUGCUUCGAGCACUGGUUUACAGGUUUCUGAAUCUGUUCCACUAUCAAGUUUGACCUCGAAUCAGG
rnacentral:rRNA from 1 species